rnacentral:rRNA from 1 species
CCGCGUGAUGAUGAAGGUUUUCGGAUCGUAAAGCUCUGUUGCCAGGGAAGAACGUCUUGGAGAGUAACUGCUCUAAGAGUGACGGUACCUGAGAAGAAAGCCCCGGCUAACUACGUGCCAGCAGCCGCGGUAAUACGUAGGGGGCGAGCGUUGUCCGGAAUUAUUGGGCGUAAAGCGCGCGCAGGCGGCUGUUUAAGUCUGGUGUUUAAUCCUGGGGCUCAACCCCGGGUCGCACUGGAAACUGGACGGCUUGAGUGCAGAAGAGGAGAGUGGAAUUCCACGUGUAGCGGUGAAAUGCGUAGAGAUGUGGAGGAACACCAGUGGCGAAGG